rnacentral:rRNA from 1 species
CCUACGGGAGGCAGCAGUGGGGGAUAUUGCACAAUGGGGGGAACCCUGAUGCAGCGACGCCGCGUGGGUGAAGAAGCGCCUCGGCGCGUAAAGCCCUGUCAGCAGGGAAGAAAAUGACGGUACCUGAAGAAGAAGCCCCGGCUAACUACGUGCCAGCAGCCGCGGGAAUACGUAGGGGGCAAGCGGUAUCCGGAUUUACUGGGUGGAAAGGGGGCGCAGACGGCGAUGCAAGACAGGAGUGAAAGCCCGGGGGCCAACCCCGGGGUCGCUCUUGGAACUGAGUGGCUGGAGUGCAGGAGGGGCAGGCGGAAUUCCUGGUGUAGCGGUGAAAUGCGUAGAUAUCAGGAGGAACACCGGUGGCGAAGGCGGCCUGCUGGACUGCAACUGACGUUGAGGCCCGAAAGCGUGGGGAGCAAACAGGAUUAGAUACCCGUGUAGUC